rnacentral:lncRNA from 1 species
UCUGGGUAGUAAUGAUAUAUUGCUAGACAUCAAUCUUGACUUGUGGGCUUGAUAAAAAUUAAAAAAAUUUAAUUCUAAAAUUAAUUUGGAAGAGUCCAAGUUGCUUGGGACUCUUUGGGUGACCUAAUAUAAUCAGAUUAGGGUUACGUCGAAAGUUCGGAUCUACUGCUGGCUAGAUUUGAAACCCAAUGGGUCACACACUUUAGAAUUUAGCCUUACUCUAAUUUAAUUAGAGUUUAAUAUAAAUUUUAUUGGUUAAUUUGAUAUACUAGUACAUUGUAUUAACCCAAGUUCUCAAAUUAGUUUAGUUCAAUGUAUUUGAGCUAACCUAGACCAGUUGGCUUUGACCUAAUGGGAUUGGGUCAAUUUGAAUUGUAUCCUUAUCCAACUUAGACUAGUUUUAAGUGGAGAAGGACUCCUCCAUGUUCACCAAAAUCUGUACAAAAAUAUAAUUUCCACCCACCUCAAAUCAGCAUG